rnacentral:rRNA from 1 species
CCCUUAGAUGUUCUGGGCUGCACGCGCGCUACACUGAAGCGUUCAACGAGUAUUCACCUUGCCCGGGAGGGUUGGGUAAUCUUUUGAAAACGCUUCGUGAUGGGGAUAGAUUAUUGCAAUUAUUAAUCUUCAACGAGGAAUUCCUAGUAAGCGCGAGUCAUCAGCUCGUGCUGAUUACGUCCCUGCCCUUUGUACACACCGCCCGUCGCUCCUACCGAUUGAGUGAUCUGGUGAAUAAUUCGGACUGCAGCACUGCUUGGUCUCCAGGCUUUGCAGCGGAAAGUUUAGUGAACCUUAUCACUUAGAGGAAGGAGAAGUCGUANCA